ACGGGUGCUUGCACCUGGUGGCGAGUGGCGAACGGGUGAGUAAUACAUCGGAACAUGUCCUGUAGUGGGGGAUAGCCCGGCGAAAGCCGGAUUAAUACCGCAUACGAUCCACGGAUGAAAGCGGGGGACCUUCGGGCCUCGCGCUAUAGGGUUGGCCGAUGGCUGAUUAGCUAGUUGGUGGGGUAAAGGCCUACCAAGGCGACGAUCAGUAGCUGGUCUGAGAGGACGACCAGCCACACUGGGACUGAGACACGGCCCAGACUCCUACGGGAGGCAGCAGUGGGGAAUUUUGGACAAUGGGCGAAAGCCUGAUCCAGCAAUGCCGCGUGUGUGAAGAAGGCCUUCGGGUUGUAAAGCACUUUUGUCCGGAAAGAAAUCCUUGGCUCUAAUACAGUCGGGGGAUGACGGUACCGGAAGAAUAAGCACCGGCUAACUACGUGCCAGCAGCCGCGGUAAUACGUAGGGUGCAAGCGUUAAUCGGAAUUACUGGGCGUAAAGCGUGCGCAGGCGGUUUGCUAAGACCGAUGUGAAAUCCCCGGGCUCAACCUGGGAACUGCAUUGGUGACUGG
rnacentral:rRNA from 1 species